rnacentral:miRNA from 1 species
UCAUACGUAUUUGUGUACUGCGUUU